rnacentral:rRNA from 1 species
GACGAACGCUGGCGGCGUGCUUAACACAUGCAAGUCGAGCGGUAAGGCCCUCGGGUACGACGAGCGGCGAACGGGUGAGUAACACGUGGGUGACCUGCCUCUAGCUCUGGGAUAAGCCUGGGGAACGUGGGUCUAAUACCGGAUAUGACUCCAUGACGCAUGUUGUGGGGUGGAAAGCCUUGUGCGGCUGAGGAUGGGCCCGCGGCCUAUCAGCUUGUU